AGAGGCCCUGUGAGGUCCUGCGAGGCCCUGCGUGUUGGCUCCUAUCUCCUCUCUGAGCUCACCUCUCCCACUCACCGCCUUGCCCUCUGCCCCCUUGCCCAGCCACACUGGCCUCCCUGCUACGUGACAGGCUCCUACUCUAGCUUUUGGACCCUACUGCACCCCUCCCACCCCAGGGACCUCUGCCCCUCCUCUUGGGGUCAGCUGGGCAGCCUGCCCUGUACUCCCUAACCCCCUCCAACCCCAGGAGUGGGGCUUCUUGAUGCCAGCCUCCAAGCCCUUUAUCACGUGUCCAUGGGCAGUGUUCUGAGGUGUCAGCCCUAGAAAGGUUGGCUGGAUCUGGGUGCACUGUGGUGCCCCAGUGCCUGGAACAGUGUUGGCUGCCUGGAACAGUAUUGGUGCACAAUAUGCAGUAGGCAUUCAAUUAGUGCUUGCUGAAUGAGGGAGCCUCAGCGUUUUAAAAUCAGACCUUGAAAACGUUGCAAAGUUCUUAGAAUCCCAGGCUUGAAGAAUUGGAGACUGGGAGGCAGUGAGGCUGGAUGGAGUCCCGCUCUGUUGCCCAUGCUGGAGUGCAGUGUCGCGAUCUGGGUUCGCUGCAACCUCCGCCUCCCAGGUUCAAGUGAUUCUCCUGCCUCAGCCUCCUGAGUAGCUACGAUUACAGAGUAGAAAACUGAGGCUCUGAGAGAUGAAGCUACUUGCCAAGGUCACGCAGCACAGUCACAUCCUACUGAACAUCAUCCUGUUCUCUGGGUGUUUCUAGAAUCACCUCCCAAAUAUCCCACUUGCACCCAAAACCUUGUCUUGGGUCAGCUUCUGGGAGCCGACCUAAGCCAGCAGCUAUAAUGCUCAGGGCUUAAGAGCUUUGGAAUCAGAUGGACCUGAGUGUGAAUCCCGCCCCUGCCACUUAACCUGAGUGUGAACUUGGGAGCCUGCCCCACCUCUCGGAACCUCAGUUCCUCCAUCUAUGAAAAGGGAACUUACGUGCAGAAAACCAAGUGACUAUGAGGGGGAUGGGGCAGUGUGAGAUGACGGGACCAGAGCACGUUCCUGGCUGCAGAGGCCACAAGUCACGCUGUCUCUGAGAGUGGAAUGUCACCAUCGCCCAGGUGGGGAUUUUUGUGUGUUUUGUUCACUGCUGUACACCCAGCCCCCAGCACAGCGCCUGUCCAGGACAAGUGCCCAGUAAACACUUGGGAAGCAAUGCAAGCGUGCGUGCAUGGAUAAGUAUUUCUUUGGCAGAUGAGGGGGCUAAGGUUCAGAGAAGGCCCUGGGGGUCUCAGACUCAUAGCCCAGUGCUCUUUCUGCUGACACGCCCUGGUCUCUGGGGCAGUUUGUUGCCUGUUCAGCAACAAAGAGGGUGUGCCUCGUUAGGGGUCCUGCGUGCGAAUCGCAGUCCCUGCGUGUCUUGGCUGGAGGUCACCACCCUCUCUGCUCCAGGGCCUGUAAUUACCACUUACCCUGGUCAAUGGGUCCGAGAGAUUACCCUUGUAGGCAGGGCUGUGGCCAGGGUGCUCACCUGGCCCCCAGCAGGUCCCAUGGGCACUGUCUGGCCGGGCUUCAUGGCUGACAUUCCAGGUCCUCCCAGCAGCUCCUGCAAACAGACCCCCGACCCAAGCCCUUCCUUCUGCCUCCACUGCCACCACUGCUGCUCAUCUCUGCUGGCACAGAAGUCUCUUCCCUGGUCUUCCAGAAAUCCCCUCUCCACACUCAGCCAGAGGGAGCUAUUAAAACUGUGGGCCAGCCCACAUCAGUCCACAGCAAAGUCCUCUCUAAGGGAUCUCUGUUGCUUGGAGAAUAAACCCUCGGAUUCCUUCCUUGGC
ensembl:lncRNA PELATON plaque enriched lncRNA in atherosclerotic and inflammatory bowel macrophage regulation